UACGUAGGGGGCUAGCGUUGUCCGGAAUUACUGGGCGUAAAGCGCGCGUAGGCGGCUUUGCAAGUCGGGUGUGAAAUCCCCAGGCUUAACCUGGGAACUGCAUUCGAGACUGCAUUGCUAGAGUAUGGGAGAGGGAAGUGGAAUUUCCGGUGUAGCGGUGAAAUGCGUAGAUAUCGGAAGGAACAUCAGUGGCGAAAGCGACUUCCUGGACCAAUACUGACGCUCAUGUGCGAAAGCGUGGGGAGCAAACAGG
rnacentral:rRNA from 1 species